CCUACGGGAGGCAGCAGUGGGGAAUAUUGGGCAAUGGGCGCAAGCCUGACCCAGCAAUGCCGCGUGAAGGAAGAAGGCUUUCUGGUUUUAAACUUCUUUUUUCAGGGACGAAGCAAGUGACGGUACCUGACGUAUAAGCCACGGCUAACUACGUGCCAGCAGCCGCGGUAAUACGGAGGUGGCAAGCGUUAUCCGGAUUUACUGGGUGUAAAGGUUGUGUAGGCGGGGAAGCAAGUCAGAGGUGAAAACCACGGGCUCAACCUGUGCCCUGCAUUUGAAACUGUUUUUCUUGAGUGCUGGUGAGGCAAGCGGAAUUCCGGGGGUAGCGGUGAAAUGCGUAGAUAUCCGGAGGAACACCAGUGGCGAAGGCAGAUUGCUGGACAGUAACUGACGCUGAGGCGCGAAAGCGUGGGGAGCAAACAGGAUUAGAUACCCCAGUAGUC
rnacentral:rRNA from 1 species